UACAGAGGGUGCGAGCGUUAAUCGGAAUUAUUGGGCGUAAAGCGCGCGUAGGCGGUUACUUAAGUCGGAUGUGAAAGCCCUCGGCUUAACUGAGGAAGUGCAUCCGAAACUGAGUAGCUAGAGUACGAAAGAGGGUCGCGGAAUUCCCGGUGUAGAGGUGAAAUUCGUAGAUAUCGGGAGGAACACCGGUGGCGAAGGCGGCGACCUGGGUCGAGACUGACGCUGAUGCGCGAAAGCGUGGGGAGCAAACAGG
rnacentral:rRNA from 1 species